rnacentral:rRNA from 1 species
AGCUCCAAAAGCGUAUAUUAAAAUUGUUGCGGUUAAAAAGCUCGUAGUUGGGUUUCUGUUGAGGAUGGCUGGUCCGCCCUCUGGGUGUGUAUCUGGCUCAGCUUUAACAUUUCUCUGGGGGCUGUGAUUGCACUUGACUGUGUGGUGCAGCGCCAGGGCUUUUACUUUGAAGAAAUUAGAGUGUUCCACGCAGGCCUGCGCCUUGCAUACAUUAGCAUGGGAUAAGGAAUGUAAUAAUAUCGGUUUUAUUUUGUUGGUUUCAAAAAUUGAAUUUGAAAUUGAUAGGGGCAGCUGGGGGCAUUUGUAUUUAACUGUCAGAGGUGAAAUUCUUGGAUUUGUUAAAGACAAGCUAAUGCGAAAGCUUUUGCCAAGAACGCUUUCAUUG